GCUCAAACCCUAAUACCUUUUUCACCCCCACGCAAGGAGUUCUUCGUUUUUUUCCCCCUUUUCUUUUUUCAGCCCAAUUUUAAUUCCAAUUUCUUGGUGGAUUUUAUAAUUUUUUUUUAUUUUAAUAUAAAUUUCUGAUUUGAGUCGUCGCCACGGCGGUUCGAUUUUGGUAGACGGGAGGGAAAAAAAGAUCCCGCUAUUUACAUGUUUUUUGGGGGAAAUUGCUGCCGGAGAAUCGCCGUAGCUGAGCACCGGCGGCGGUGCAAUUUAUGGCGUCUGCCGUGUUAGCAAGCCAGAAUGAGUCGAGCUGGGCCCACAUGGGAAAGACUCCUUACUCUAAUCCUCACCUGAAUGCAAACCCUAACCCUAACCCGAAGAAGAAGCAGAAGCAGUUCCACCUAGCCUCGGCCAACGGCGCAGUCGGCCGUUACCACCACCAGAACAACAAUUCGCCGGCCGUCACCCAGACAGCGUCCGACGACGCCUACUCGUACAACCAGACGUCGACCAGCCGGAACGCUGUCAAUUAUGGUGGCUAUUUGACUUUCGCCGUUGCUUCGUCUUCGAAAUCCGAGCUCCGUGAGCUCCGUAAAAGAUUAUCUGCGGAGCUUGAUCGGACCCGAGAUUUACAGGAUCGAAUCGAUUCUGGCCGAUUCAACAAUGUCGAGAAUCCCAGAUCUCAACCGAAAUUGCACAAUUUCAGUGGAAACAGACGGCCUGGCGCUGCCCUUGGAUCUGCUCCGAAGAAAUUAUUCAAUGGGUACGACAAUGGCAGUUUAAACCCGGUUAAUUUUGACGAGUCGUUGAAGGAAUGCAGCAAAAUUGUUGCGAAAUUGAUAAAGCACAAAUUUGGCUACAUCUUCAAAUCGCCGGUGGAUGCUGUGGCUUUGAAGCUGCACGAUUAUCAUCUGAUUGUGAAACGCCCGAUGGAUCUGGGCACUGUGAAAACCAAUCUAUCGAAGAAAGUGUAUCCGACACCUGCUGAAUUUGCAGCCGAUAUGAGGUUGACUUUCAACAAUGCGUUGUUGUACAACCCCAAGUCUGAUCCCGUAAACGGUAUGGCAGAGCAGAUGUUGGCCAAAUUCGAGGAAUUGUUCAAGCCCAUACAGGAGAAGAUGGAUAAGGCUCUCAGUCAGCCGAGGGAGAGGGAAAGGGAAUUCCGCGAUUUUAACGACGAAUUGCAGUUUCGGGCGCUCGAGGAUUUGCAGGGGAGUUCCUGGAAUAAUCACAGUAACCAGCUUGUUGCUUCUCCGGCGAGAGUGAAAAAGACGAAACCGAAGUCUAGUCCUGUUCCGGUCCCUGUUCCCCAGGGUUUGAAGAAGCCCGAAAGGAUUGAAAGGAUUGAAAGAAUUGUUGAAAGAAUACCGACACCGAAGCAAGCUCAUUCCAGUGCCUCGACGCCUUCAAACCCGCCUCCACCUUCGAUGAAUCAGAAGCCAUUGAUGAUGCCAGAGCAGCUGCCUCCUUCCCCAGUGAGAGCUCCGACACUGCCCACUAGCGAACAGAAAAUUGUGAGAGGAGUGGGUAUGGUGAAGCAGCCGAAGCCGAGGGCAAAGGAUCCUAACAAGAGAGAUAUGAACAUGGAGGAGAAGCAGAAGCUUGGACUUGGGUUGCAGAGUUUGCCUCAAGAAAAGAUGCCUCAGCUGGUAGGGAUUAUUAAGAAGAGGAAUGAGCAUUUGGCGCAGGAUGGCGAUGAAAUUGAGCUCGACAUUGAGGCCCUUGAUACGGAGACACUGUGGGAGCUUGACCGGUUUGUGACCAAUUGGAAGAAGAUGGUGAGCAAGACGAAGCGGCAAGCAUUGAUGACUAACAUCAAUCCAGGUUCUGGAGUUGCUGAACCUGCUUCUCCCACUGCCGAAGCUGAUGAUAUGGGCACAAUGAGUGAUGAUAAGAACGAUGAUUCGGGGAAGAAAUUGAAAGAGAACGAUGAUGAAGAUGUAGAUAUUGACGAUGAUAUGCCAGCAACUAGCUUUCCUCCGGUGGAGAUUGAAAAGGAUGAGGGGGCUGGCGGCGCAGGUGGCGGUGGUGGUGGUGGUGGUGGUGGUGCACCAGAGAAUGAUAAUGUAGAUCGUGGCAAUGGCGGCGGCAGCAGUAGCUCGAGUAGUUCAGGCAGCUCUAGUAGUGAUUCUUCGUCCUCCAGUGAUUCUUCAGGGAGUUCUUCUGGGAGUGACUCCGAUGCUGACGAUGCACAGUCUUGAUUCGCUGUUGAGAAAGCACUCGGCUGUAUGAUCCGAUGAUGGGCAUCACUUCGAACUGUCCUCUCAUUUGGUUGUUGUUUUGAUAUAUAAACAUGUUUCUUGAUAAGAAUGGCGAGUUGGGAAGAAGUGGUGCUUAUCAAUGAUGACGAGAUGAUUGAUUGUUUGUGGGGAUGAAGAUGUUAGAGAAUUUGGUUAGGUUUUGUUAAAUGUUGAAAUGAAAUGUAGUUUUAAGGAAAAACGAAUACGGAAGAGCUAAAUAGAGAAUGUAGAUAGUAGUAAGUAGCUUUUGACGAGGGUAGAUACAACUCAAUACACAAUGUUUGCUCUGCUUAUUUGCAGUUCCUCCUCCGCUGUUAAUGUUGUUGUCUGAAAGGCCUUUGGUGUAUUGUUGUUGUUAUUUGAGUAAAUCUUGAAUAUGUACAAUAUGCCUUUGGUUGCAACAAUUGAAAUAGCAAAGAUGAGUGGGACUGCUUGAUCUUUACAGCUGUUAUUGUGGUU